GACGAACGCUGGCGGCGUGCUUAACACAUGCAAGUCGAACGGUGAAAGCGGAGCUUGCUCCGCUGGAUCAGUGGCGAACGGGUGAGUAACACGUGGGCAACCUGCCCCAGACUUCGGGAUAACUCCUCGAAAGAGGUGCUAAUACCGGAUACGAAUCCCCCAGGCAUCUGGGGGUUUGGAAAGUUUUUCCGUCUGGGCUGGGCCCGCGGCCUAUCAGCUUGUUGGUGAGGUACCGGCUCACCAAGGCGACGACGGGUAGCCGGACUGAGAGGGCGACCGGCCACACUGGGACUGAGACACGGCCCAGACUCCUACGGGAGGCAGCAGUGGGGAAUAUUGCGCAAUGGGCGAAAGCCUGACGCAGCAACGCCGCGUGCGGGAUGACGGCCUUCGGGUUGUAAACCGCUCUCAGCAGGGAAGAAGCCGCAAGGUGACGGUACCUGCAGAAGAAGCACCGGCUAACUACGUGCCAGCAGCCGCCGUAA
rnacentral:rRNA from 1 species